AUUCUUUUAGUAUAACUAGUACAGCUGACUUCCAAUCAACUAGCUCCGAUAGUAUUCGGAAAAGAAUA
rnacentral:tRNA from 1 species